UACUCUGCUACAGGGACGAAUGAACUCAACGAGGCGAAGAACAGUUAAGGGAUUGAAGAGGAGUGUUCCUGAUUGUGGAGCAGCUGUUCUCCUUCCCUCUUAGUCAUUUGGCUUUAGUCUUUUACGUUGGAAAAAGAUGGGGUAUCCAGUUUUACAGCUGAAGACUAUAGGGGAUAUUCCUUGUCUUCAUGGUCUACAGUUCAAUAAUAAUCAUGUGAGAGUUAAUUAUGGUGUCAGCCACUGUUCAUUGAUUAGAGAACCUGUGUUUCACCUCCAUUGCUCAGCCAGAGGCUGGCUUAACCUUGGAUCUCGUAUACAAUGGCGAGGGCAUUUUGGUUUUGACAGAAAUGAAUAUUUUCUACAAUGUAGAGGACAGCAGAGGAGCAUCUGCAUCGAUAGUGCUAAUGAAAGUGGGAAAGAGAACUGGAACUUGGAAAGAUCCAUCAUGGAUGUUCAGAGGACACCAAAAGAUACCCAAUUGGAUUCUGAGAGACUACCAAAUGUGCCAUGGUUGUAUACAGAUGGAUCUUUUGUUGAUAACGAUGAAGAGUCCAACAACAAAGUCCUUCAUAAUUUCUGCAGCAAAGGGAAGAUAAAUGAAGCAUCAAACCUUAUUGGUGUAAUGGCACGGAGAAACCAGAUUCCUCAUUUCCCCACUUGCCAAAACAUUAUCCGUGGCUUGAUUAAUGCUGGUAGCAUCGACAAAGCCACAAAAGUGUUGAGCAUAAUGAUAUUUUCUGGUGGUGUGCCCGAUAUUAUCACUCACAAUAUGUUAAUUGGGGGUCUCUGUAAGAAAGGGCACUUGAAGUCUGCAAUUGAUCUUUUGGAAGACAUGAGCUUGAGUGGUUGCCCUCCAGAUAUAAUCACAUAUAAUACCAUACUUCGUUGCAUGUUUGACCAUGGUAGGUUUGAUCAGGCAAUAGGGUUUUGGAAGGAGCAGUUGAGAAAGGGGUGCCCUCCAUAUAUAAUCACGUGCACUGUGCUUGUAGAACUAGUCUGCAGGCAUUGUGGGGCUGAGCGUGCUAUAGAGGUUUUGGAAGAUAUGGUGAUAGAGGGCUGUUCUCCUGAUAUUGUGACCUAUAAUUCCCUUGUUAAUUCUACAUCUAAGGAAGGGAAGUAUGGAGAAACAACCUUGGUGAUCUCCAAUCUUCUUUCACAAGGAAUGGAACCUAAUGCUGUCACUUACAACACCCUUCUUCAUUCUCUCUGUAGCCGUGGUUAUUGGGAUGACAUGAAUGAUAUCCUCUCCCUCAUGAAUGAGACGUCCAAUCCUCCUACGAUUGUUACUUACAAUAUUUUGAUCAAUGGUCUGUGUAAACAAGGGCUUCUUGAUCGGGCCAUCGACUUUUUAGAUGAAAUGGUUUGUCGAGAUUGUUCUCCUGACAUCAUUACUUAUAAUACCCUUCUAGGGGCUCUAUGUAAAGUGGGGAUGACAGAUGAGGCUCUUUGUAUACUUCAUUCCUUAUGUGAUAGUGGCUGCUCACCUGUUUUGAUUACUUAUAAUACGGUUAUAGAUGGUUUAGCAAAGACGGGUGAUAUGAAGAAUGCAACAAGGCUUUAUAGUGAGAUGAUUGAAAGUGGAAUUAAUCCUGAUGAUAUUACAUUCCGUUCACUUAUUUGGGGUUUUUGUCGGGAUGGUUUAGUUGAGGAGGCUGUCGAGAUUUUAAGGGAGAUGGCUAAGAGAAACCAUAAGAUUAGAAACAGCACUUACAGUUCUGUAAUCCAGGGAUUAUGCCAAAAGAACAAGGUGGAUAUGGCUAUCCAAGUUCUAGACAUGAUGAUCUCAAGUCGUUGUAAGCCCAGUGAGACAAUUUAUGCCAAACUCAUUAAAGGUGUAGCUGCUGCUGGUAUGACAGAAGAGGCUGUAAAGCUACAUCAGAAGCUGAUUGAACAUAAGGUUCUUAAGGAAAAAAUCCUGCCUGAUUAGGGGGAGUGGGCGCAAAAGCUUCAGCAGAAUUCGUGCACUUAUCUUUUGGGUGCUUGUGGCUGCUUCAAUUUUGUCCUUCACUUGUAUGGCAUAUACUGUUUAAAGCGGGAGGUUCAAACAUCCAUAUCUACUCAUUGCUCCCGGGAUUACCCUUUCACCUGGAGAGCUGCUACAAGAAUAAGCAAGAUGCAGUAGUAAUCUGCCGAAAUGGUUGAGUAGAACCAUUAUCUAUUGAGAGCACUUUGCAAUGGCAUGUCAUGUCUAGAGUUACCAGUUCGCUGUUUGCGUGGUUCUAUUGUAAGUUCUUACAAGUUACAUCAACUCGGACACUCUGAAAGUUCAUUAGAUGCAGAAGAGAUGCCCAGAAACUAUAAUAUAGGCUCUGUGUAUAACUGUAUAUGAGUUCCUCUAGAGUUGAAUAUGUUCAUUAUUUACAUGAUCCUAUGUUACCUCUGGACCACACCAGUCAGACACUGUUCAACUGGAGUGGAGGAAUAUUUUAAGUCCAUGGGAGAACAAAAGAAAUCUGCACCCUCUUGAUGAAGCAAACGGCAGAUUUCUGGCAAUUUGACCACUUUGACAGGAACAGAGUUAUGGCAAAAGUAUCCAAAACAUUCAUUUAAUGUAAAUACUUAGGCUAUGAGUGUUAUUUUGGACCA